UACGGAGGGUGCAAGCGUUAAUCGGAAUUACUGGGCGUAAAGCGCACGUAGGUGGCUGCUUAAGUCGGAUGUGAAAGCCCUGGGCUCAACCUGGGAAUUGCAUUUGAUACUGGGAGACUUGAAUGUGGGAGAGGGUGCUAGAAUAUCUAGUGUAGUGGUGAAAUACGUAGAUAUUAGGUGGAACACCGGUGGGGAAGCCGGGUACCUGGCCCAACAUUGACACUUAGGCUCGAAAGCGUGGGGAUCAAACAGG
rnacentral:rRNA from 1 species